rnacentral:rRNA from 1 species
GAGUUUGAUCAUGGCUCAGAGCGAACGCUGGCGGCAGGCCUAACACAUGCAAGUCGAACGAACUCUUCGGAGUUAGUGGCGGACGGGUGAGUAACACGUGGGAACGUGCCUUUUGGUUCGGAAUAACUCAGGGAAACUUGUGCUAAUACUGAAUGUGCCCUUCGGGGAAGGAUUAUCGCCAUUAGAGCGGCCCGCGUCUGAUUAGCUAGUUGGUGAGGUAAAGGCUCACCAAGGCGACGAUCAGUAGCUGGUCUGAGAGGAUGAUCAGCCACAUUGGGACUGAGACACGGCCCAAACUCCUACGGGAGGCAGCAGUGGGGAAUCUUGCGCAAUGGGCGAAAGCCUGACGCAGCCAUGCCGCGUGAAUGAUGAAGGUCUUAGGAUUGUAAAAUUCUUUCACCGGGGACGAUAAUGACGGUACCCGGAGAAGAAGCCCCGGCUAACUUCGUGGCAGCCGCCGCGGUAAG